UCUAUCAAAGCAUCUUUCUCCUUAAUCUGCUGUAGCAACUCUUCCCUUUCACGGAUCCAGGCACGUGAUAGGUCUUCGUCUCUCAACUCCUCUACUCCUUGGUUAGGGAGGGUUGAAGGUCCAUCCAUAACCAAAGGUGUAGGUCUCGGAUAUUCGUAAGGCAUGCGGUACUCAGAUGCUCUCUUCCUUACCCAAGCAGUGUAAGGCUCCAUAGCAACACAAUUUUUAG
rnacentral:lncRNA from 1 species